GCAUUGUUAUGUAAAAGAGAUAAAGGCAGGGCGAAUGCUUAGAAGGCCAUGGUAAGGGGAGGGUGGACAGCCCUGCAUCUGAGAGGGUGAGAAACGCACUCCCACCUUGGUUGCUGGUGAUCUUGACUUUUUUUGUUUUUUUUUCUGCCAGUCCUGGGGCUUGAACUCAGGGCCUG